CAUCAGAUGUUCGUCGCCAAUUCCUCGUUCACCGUAACUCCCGUAAUUUCUGUACCACCUGUUCGCGAACACAGUCAUCUUCGUCAAGUAAACUCGUUCUUAGCUGUGCUGUGUACAAUCAAUCACCAAAACGGUGUUGCAGUGUAGUUGGUACGAGACGCUUAAAAAAGUUGCAAAAAAUAGAUCCAACAAAUUCCCAAAGUAAAUCCGCUAUCCGAGUUAUACAUUCCGAAGGUUUUAAGCCGUUUCCUCAGGAGCGUUUCGAUAGGGUACGGGUUUGCCGGAACACAGCGCAAAGACGUCGAUCGCACGAGUAUGGAGUUCCUGAUAGCUGUAGUGUUGCAUGCGAAGGUGGACUGGAUGGUCCCGUUAGUCCGAACAAUUACAGCCAUAUUCAACUUGUUUUUCUGGACAGUUAUAGUCAUUUGUGACUGGGUGGCCCGAACAUCUAGAGCCGUGCGGGGCUGGUUGGACGAGCGCAGGUUCCGCCGGCUGUCACGUGGACCUUGCAUCAGGGGUGAUCCGAUACGGGCAUGGGAGGUUGCCCGGCUCAGCCCUGAGGAGUACGAGGAUCUCUGGAACGCAGGUUUGGGGGAAGCCCUACGGAGAUGGGAGUUCCCCGACGAGGAGGAAGAAGACGAGGAGUGAGGAGGAAGAAUAAAAAUGAAGUUAUUCACAAAACGUAACAUUAUACCGUUAUUAAAUUUAAGUGCUAUGCGGAAAGAAAUGGAAUAAUUUGCUCUUCUGUCGUCGAACGAGCGAAAG